CUCUUCUGGAGAUCACUGCUCUUGGUGUCUUCUGGUGACCUCAGUCAAAGGCUCUUACGCAGAAACAUUUUGACUGAAGAGCUGUGGGAAGCAAAUAGAUUUCAUCAAACAGAACAAAAGAAGAGGAAAACAAUUAUAACAAAGGUGACUACUGCCAGUGAUCUGAAGUCUUCAAGUCAAGCAUCUUAUUCUGCUGCAGUGUUGUACUCAGGGAAGCAGCAAAACUUUCAGAAAAAGCAUUGACAGUUUUAGGACUUGAUCAUGUAAUAACAAACUUAGCUCAUAUUGGAUGUCUUUCAAGUUUCUCAAAGCUUGUUCUCUUUCGUUAAUAUUACGUGUUUUAUGUUACGUACAGUAUGUACCAAUCUUCAAAAAUAGAUUUUACAGAAAAGAAAUGCUCACCAAUAAACUUCUAUAUUAA